ensembl:misc_RNA Y_RNA Y RNA
AGCUGGUCCAAAGGUAGUGAGUUAUCUCAAUUGAUUGUUCACAGUCAGUUACAGAUCAAACUCCUUCUAAUCUUUCCCUGCUUGUCACCACUGUGCUUGACUAGUUUUAA